UGGGUUGCGGCUCAGAGGUAGAGUGCUUGCCUAGCAUGCAUGAGGCACUGGGUUCCAUCCUCAUCACCACAU
rnacentral:tRNA from 1 species